GAAGGUAUAGCUCAGUGGUAGAGCUCAUGCUUAGCAUGCAUGAAGUCCCAGGUUCAAUCCCCAGUACCUCCA
rnacentral:tRNA from 1 species